CUACAUCCGUUGGGGUGCCCGCAAGACCGGGCUGAGAGGCAUCGCGCCAACCCAUCGAACCUGAUCCGGCUGAUACCGGCGUAGGGAACGGACCUCAGCACGCC
rnacentral:ncRNA from 1 species